ACACUGUGCAGCAUUCCAGGAUAUUGCCACCAACUGUGCUUCAUACUCAAGGAAACUUCAAAAGCCUGUAUUUACUCACCCCUCUUUGUAGGACUGCAGUAGCACAUUUAGCUCUGAAGGCACUGUGAUAUUUGUGUCUAAACCAUGAACCCUGAGUUGGAAAAUCUCUGAAACAAUCAAAAGUAACUGCUACGAGGUGAACAUCCAUCUGGAACCCUGCACUCGGUGCAUGCAGCUUGCUGCUUCGUCACUUUGGGUCUGGGUUUUACUUCCUUUUUGCAGUUUUUGUGCUUUGUUCUCUCAUCAUGAGAGAUCUGGAUAGCUCCUGGUACAGGGAGUCUUCUAGGCAGUCGAGGACUUCCUGAGAGUGGCAACAUGAACACAUGGGAUGAGAUCAUGUUCUCCCUCUGGCCUUACGGCUUCCAACAGAGCUGCUGUAUCUGAAAGUUUUGGGGCUGGAUGUGUCAGACGGGCGCGCUGAGGAGAUGAUACAGAGUUCUGCUGCACUAAUCCCUCUCCAGAAUGGUACCAGAACAGUAACUUGCUACAGCAGCUUAGACUUUGUGCAUUAGACGGUCUUACUAAUCACACUGAGGUUGUUCAAUUUCUGUAGUGAUAUGAGUAUAAGGAAUACUUCCCUUGUCACAGCAGUUAUUGAUGUUACUGGAGGGACAUUGUACAUCCAAAAUAACACCAACCAAAACAAGAAGAAAGGUGUUCAGAUGAGAAUAGGACUGCUUAGGAGGAGACUGUGUGUGUGCUCAAAUUCAGCUUAUUUCAGUGCAGAUUUCCAGUGCUAACAAGUGAACUGAUUUGUUAUAGAAAAGCUGCUGGAAAUAAUCAUCAGAACUGAUGAUCCGUUCUGCAUUUGGUUUUCUUAAUAUGUAAAAUAUGGAGAAAUACAACAAAAUAUUUGGAAUUGGAGGAAAUUCUAAUGCCUCUGUG
rnacentral:lncRNA from 1 species